AUUUUCCGCAAUGGGCGAAAGCCUGACGGAGUGACGCCGCGUGGGGGACGAAGGCCUUCGGGUCGUAAACCCCUGUCAGAGGGAAAGAAGGGUGUCGGCGUGAAUAGCGCCGGCAUUUGACGGUACCUUCAGAGGAAGCCCCGGCCAACUCUGUGCCAGCAGCCGCGGUAAUACGGAGGGUGCGAGCGUUGUCCGGAAUCACUGGGCGUAAAGGGCGCGUAGGCGGCCUGAUAAGUAGGGGGUGAAAUCCUGCGGCUUAACCGCAGGGCUGCCUUCUAAACUGUCGGGCUAGAGCACGGUGGAGGCAGAUGGAAUUCCCGGUGUAGCGGUGGAAUGCGUAGAGAUCGGGAAGAACAUCAGUGGCGAAGGCGGCCUGCUGGGCAGUAUGGCUGACACUGAGGCGCGACAGCGUGGGGAGCAAAC
rnacentral:rRNA from 1 species